AAAAUGGUGAGAUAAAGCAAAUUCAGAGGAGGCACUUUUCUUUUCGGUGGUUGACAGCUCUACUGCCAGGCGACGAGGAAUGUCUUUUCGGAAUAUUAAUUUCCAUCCGGGAACGAAUCUCAACCAGCAGAAUGCAUCUGGAUUUCGCCUGGGUGGUGCUGGUUGGUUCCUGAGAAAUCGCCGGGUGUAGGAGAUGAGUUGCUGCAGGACCAAUAGGCGUUAUUUCACUGCAAGAUGGGGAAGAUUCUAUGCGAUGCAUGAAGUCUAGGUUGUAAGCUCAAGUGCAUGAAGAAUUGCUUGGUCCAAUAAGAAGAAUCUCAGAUCGUCGGACAGAGAUCCUAUCUUCACGUCUUCAAAUGGCAAUG